UACCAAAUAGCAGUUUCUUAGUUAAAAUUAAUUGGUUUUGAAACUGUUAUUCAUCAAGAUAUAAAGUGUCGCUCGGGGUGUCAGAUUUUGCGUCGCAAGGGGUAGAGGCUUGUCAUAAAAAAGAAUACAUUUUCUUAUAAAUCGAUCUCUAUCUGAUACUUUUUAAUUCAAACACACCUACACUGUUAUGAUGACAAAUUACAAACUUAAGGUAUGUCAUUUGGUCCAUAUUUUAGUCUUUUAAGUAAUGUGCAUUUUUAUUGAUAAACAUAGCAAAUAAAGCCUCAAAGUAGAAAAAUAAUUGGAUAUUAAUAGAAGUGUAAUGUUGUUUGUUUUAUAUUAUACCUUUGAAAUACAAAAAUAUUGACAAAUGGACGUAAGA
rnacentral:lncRNA from 1 species